UCUCCGGUAGUAUAGUGGUUAGUAUUCGUGCCUGUCACGCACGCGGCCCGGGUUCGAUUCCCGGCCGGAGAG